UUCUUAAGACCUGAAAGGGAUCAAUUUGAUAGAUUGAUGCAGAAAACUGAUACAGGAC
rnacentral:tRNA from 1 species